UACUAAGCGGAGGAAAAGAAACCAACGGGGAUGCCGAUAGUACUGCGAGUGAAAUCGGCCAAGCCCAGCGCCGAAUCCUGUUGCUGGCGACGGUGACAGGAACUGUGGCGUGAAGAACGUCCUUACCGGUACGGUUUGCGUGCGUAAGUUCUCCUGAGUGAGGCUCCAUUCCAAGGAGGGUGCAAGACCCGUAUCGCGUGCAACCGGUGUCGGUGUAAGAUGUUCGGAGAGUCGCCUUGUUUGUGAGUACAAGGUGAAGUCGGUGGUAAACUCCAUCGAAGGCUAAAUAUGACCACGAGUCCGAUAGCGAACAAGUACCGUGAGGGAAAAUUGAAAAGCACUUUGAAGAGAGAGCGAAACAGUGCGUGAAACCGCUCAGAGGCAAGCAAAUGGGGCCUCGAAGGCAAGGCAGCGAAUUCAGCUGGUGGUCUGCGCGGCUGGUUGGUUUGGAGAUCUUACGACUCUGGCCGGCUGGGCUCUGAGCGUAGGUGCCAGUGCACUUUUGUUGCUUGUACGCCACCGCCGUUGAGUGGGCAUCCGUCGAGUUGGCAAUGCGAAGCCUUGAGCCUUUACGGGCCUAGGUGCUUGCAGCCGGCUUUUGUACGCGUUUGCACUUCAACCGGUCAUGUUUGCAUGUGCCAGCAAUUUGGCGUUGGAUCGGCUUGCUCUGCCGUUUGUCGUGAGAUGACGAGCUUGCUCGGCUCUUCGGCAUCUAUGGUAGAAUCGGGUCGGUUUCAACGUGGGCACAUUGUAAUUCGGUGGCGAGUAGAUGGCUGCCCAUUUAACCC
rnacentral:rRNA from 1 species